AUGGUGGUGGCACAGUGGAUGUGACACAUGCCCAUGGUGUGUGAGAUCUGGGUUCAAUUCCCACUGCAAUA
rnacentral:tRNA from 1 species